rnacentral:tRNA from 1 species
GGCGAGGUGGCAGAAAUAUGUGGUGGAUUGUAAAUCUAUUAAUGAAGGUGACCUUCCCUUGCCAU